UAGAUUGUUUUAAUUAUUGAAUUGUUUUUAUAGCUAAUUAUAUGAUUACUAUUACAAGUUGUAAACUUGAAAUUGCUUUGCAUAUAGGAACUUUGUAGGAGAAAUAAAGAAAUUCGAAGCAAGCAAGUUAUUCCACACACUGGUGGAUUCAAAGCUAAUCCUAGAAGAAGAAAUGAGUUGUUGUUAGAAACUGGGAAGCUACCAAGUCGUGGACAAUUAUAUAUUGAAACUCAUAAAAGGAAAGAUGGAUCAUUUGUAAAUGAAGCAGCAAAGACUAUAGCGGAACAAAUUGAAGUAGGAUUGACUCAAAGCAUAGUUGAUGAAUCUAAAGUUUCUCCUCUUGAUGUUGUUGGUAGAGUGUUAGGGUUAGAGCACUCUGGGAGAGUGCGAUGCAUGGGAUUAGGAGUUGUUCCU